rnacentral:rRNA from 1 species
UAGGGAAUCUUCCACAAUGGACGAAAGUCUGAUGGAGCAACGCCGCGUGAGUGAAGAAGGUUUUCGGAUCGUAAAGCUCUGUUGUUGGUGAAGAAGGAUAGAGGCAGUAACUGGUCUUUAUUUGACGGUAAUCAACCAGAAAGUCACGGCUAACUAGUGCCAC